AGCUCAUAGGAGCAGUGCAAAGCUGUUCUUUACACUCUCCCGGCUGUGGGUUGAGGGGGCCAUUUCCUCUCCUGUAUCCUGACUUUGGUAGCACAGAGGAUACUGAUUCCAGUGCCUCAAGAUCUCUUGUUAUGUAAGUGAGGUAGGCUGUGUGAUGAGAUUCCGAGUGACAGGCACUGUGGAGUGCUGGGGACCACGGCUGGCUGAAGUGGGCAGACAUAAUGGCACGCCAGCACUUUGGCCCAGCAGCCAAUGGCAACACAAACAACUGGGAAGUCACUAUGAAUUUUAUCCCAGAGAAAGCUAUGGAUGUGCUUGCUAGAAGAGAUUUGAUGUUUCCCUUCUGUCAAGAUCGGAUCUUCCAUACUGACCAUUAUCCCAUGUCCGGGUUGCUACAAGAAGACUACGCUUUGGUGUGCAAGCACCAUAGUCGUUUCCCUGUAUGGGUUGAGUUCUCAUCAGUAAAUAUUUCAUGUACCUGAUUACUCCACAGUGAGCAACAACAUGAAAACAUAAUCUUGGAGAUGGCUACAGGGUCAGAAGAUCCAGCCUGUUCAUCUCUAUCUCUGUACAUUUUUAAGCCUAGAACACAUUUUACUGACUUUGACUGAGCCUCCACCAUGACAGUUUUGCCCAUGAAGUGAGUGAGUCAGAUGCUCUACCAACCCAUCAGACUAGGAGUGGUCUGUGUCUUUCAUUUGACCUUGAAGGCAGACACUUUCCCACUCUGUCAAUCGUCUCUGUCUACACUAAGCCCUCCUGGAAUGACCAACAGAGCAGCAUGUGCAGGCAGCCUCUAGCAGCCUUCCCUUUAGCUCUCCCUGUGACUUUGUUUCUUGUCGUUUGCAUUUUGCAUGUAAGCUAUUAUCAUUAACAUGUAUUACUGACCAAAGGCCACCAACUUGGAGAUGCGAUUAUUGCCCUGGUCCCCUGUGGUUCGUAGUGAGUCACAAAUCAGCAGCUCCUGCAUCAUUCAGGAGCUUGUUAGAAAGGUUGUAUUCAGGCCAUAGCCAAGACCCAUUGGAUCAGAAUGCACUUGUUAGGAAGAAAGCCUAGAACACUCCUACAUACAUGUGUAUUGAAGCACUACCGUCUACUCUGCAUGCCCCUAACUCCCUGAAAGGCCUCUUCCACCCUCUAUGCUCUAUUCCAAAGGACAGUGACUCCUAGUGGGGUUUUUGGUGAACAUUUUUUUACAACUCCAACUUAGGCAUACAGCCAAUCCAAAUGUGAAUUCAGUUAGCGGGAAUCAUGGGACAGAAUAUUGGACAUUGAGUUUUGUCGUUACUAUAUUUAACUCCUAUUUCAUAACCAUUUUGCUUUUUCUGAGAAGGUUGGAGAAUUAUUUUAAAUGGUCCACUGCUCCAUCCAAUUUUAUCUUAGUUACAGGGGCUACGUAGUUGAGAUUUAAAAAAACGUUUCUGCUGGAACAUUUCUUUUCCUU